rfam:Pan troglodytes isolate Yerkes chimp pedigree #C0471 (Clint) chromosome 13, whole genome shotgun sequence.
GCUGGGCAUGGUGGUGCAUGCCUGUAAUCCUAGCUACUUGGGAGGCUGAGGUGGGAGGAUUGCUUGAACCCAGGAGGCGGAGGUUGCAGUGAGCCAAGAUUGCGCCACUGCACACUCCACCCUGGGCGACAGAGCAAGAAUCUCCAUCUC